rnacentral:rRNA from 1 species
CAGUAGCCACGGUAAAACGAAGGGUGCAAGCGUUACUCGGAAUUACUGGGCGUAAAGCGUGCGUAGGUGGUGGUUUAAGUCCGUUGUGAAAGCCCUGGGCUCAACCUGGGAAUUGCAGUGGAUACUGGGUCACUAGAGUGUGGUAGAGGAUAGUGGAAUUUCCGGUGUAGCAGUGAAAUGCGUAGAGAUCGGAAGGAACAUCUGUGGCGAAGGCGACUAUCUGGGCCAACACUGACACUGAGGCACGAAAGCGUGGGGAGCAAACAGGAUUAGAUACCCGAGUAGUCCCUGUCUCUUAUAA